GCACCUUUGGGGACAUUCAAUAAAAUUGAAACGAUACACAGAAGAUAGCAUAACCCCGCGCAAGGAUGACAUGCAUGCACAAAUCGAGAAAUGGUAAAAAAAAUUUU
rnacentral:snRNA from 1 species